GGGGGGGAGAUGGCCGCAUUAUAAGGCUCUGCCGGUCGAAUCGACAGCAAAAGCAGAACCUGAGCGAGGUUCGAAGCUGCGAUCUGCCGAUCGCAAGAAUGUUGACUGGACGGACGCUCUGCGGGUAGUGCCACCCAUCCGUCCCCGACCCACCGUCCCUUAUAGACCUUGUUUUAUAAAGCCCUGGCGGGCGUCGCGACAGCAAAGAGAGAAACUGUCCUCAGCGAGGUUCGAAGCUGCGAUCUGCCGAUCGCAAGAAUGUUGACUGGACGGACGCUCUGCGGGUAGUGCCACCCAACCAACCCCGACCCACCGUCCCUCUUAGGCCGUGUUAUUAAGGCUGUCGAAUCGACAGCAAAGAGAAACAGCACUGAGCGAGGUUCGAAGCUGCGAUCUGCCGAUCGCAAGAAUGAUGACGGGACGGACGCUCUGCGGGUAGUGCCACCCAACCAACCCCGACCCACCGUCCCUUAUAGACCUUGUUUUAUAAAGCCCUGGCGGGCGUCGCGACAGCAAAGAGAGAAACUGUCCUCAGCGAGGUUCGAAGCUGCGAUCUGCCGAUCGCAAGAAUGUUGACUGGACGGACGCUCUGCGGGUAGUGCCACCCAUCCAUCCCCGACCCACCGUCCCUUAUAGACCUUGUUUUAUAAAGCCCUGGCGGGCGUCGCGACAGCAAAGAGAGAAACUGUCCUCAGCGAGGUUCGAAGCUGCGAUCUGCCGAUCGCAAGAAUGUUGACUGGACGGACGCUCUGCGGGUAGUGCCACCCAACCAACCCCGACCCACCGUCCCUUAUAGACCUUGUUUUAUAACGGUCGACGCGACAGCAAAGAGAGAAACUGCACCCAGCGAGGUUCGAAGCUGCGAUCUGCCGAUCGCAAGAAUGUUGACUGGACGGACGCUCUGCGGGUAGUGCCACCCAACCAACCCCGACCCACCGUCCCUCUUAGGCCGUGUUAUUAAGGCUGUCGAAUCGACAGCAAAGAGAAACAGCACUGAGCGAGGUUCGAAGCUGCGAUCUGCCGAUCGCAAGAAUGUUGACUGGACGGACGCUCUGCGGGUAGUGCCACCCAACCAACCCCGACCCACCGUCCCUCUUAGGCCGUGUUAUUAAGGCUGUCGAAUCGACAGCAAAGAGAAACAGCACUGAGCGAGGUUCGAAGCUGCGAUCUGCCGAUCGCAAGAAUGAUGACGGGACGGACGCUCUGCGGGUAGUGCCACCCAACCAACCCCGACCCACCGUCCCUUAUAGACCUUGUUUUAUAACGGUCGACGCGACAGCAAAGAGAGAAACUGCACCCAGCGAGGUUCGAAGCUGCGAUCUGCCGAUCGCAAGAAUGAUGACGGGACGGACGCUCUGCGGGUAGUGCCACCCAACCAACCCCAGCCCACCGUCCCUUAUAGACCUUGUUUUAUAACGGUCGACGCGACAGCAAAGAGAGAAACUGUCCUCAGCGAGGUUCGAAGCUGCGAUCUGCCGAUCGCAAGAAUGAUGACGGGACGGACGCUCUGCGGGUAGUGCCACCCAACCAACCCCGACCCACCGUCCCUCUUAGGCCGUGUUAUUAAGGCUGUCGAAUCGACAGCAAAGAGAAACAGCACUGAGCGAGGUUCGAAGCUGCGAUCUGCCGAUCGCAAGAAUGUUGACUGGACGGACGCUCUGCGGGUAGUGCCACCCAACCAACCCCGACCCACCGUCCCUCUUAGGCCGUGUUAUUAAGGCUGUCGAAUCGACAGCAAAGAGAAACAGCACUGAGCGAGGUUCGAAGCUGCGAUCUGCCGAUCGCAAGAAUGAUGACGGGACGGACGCUCUGCGGGUAGUGCCACCCAACCAACCCCGACCCACCAUCCCUUUCAGGCCGUGUUAUAAGGCUCUGCCGGUCAAAUCCACAGCAAAGACAAACAGCACUGAGUGAGGUUCGAAGCUGCGAUCUGCCGAUCGCAAGAAUGAUGACGGGACGGACGCUCUGCGGGUAGUGCCACCCAACCAACCCCGACCCACCGUCCCUUUCAGGCCGUGUUAUAAGGCUCUGCCGGUCAAAUCCACAGCAAAGACAAACAGCACUGAGCGAGGUUCGAAGCUGCGAUCUGCCGAUCGCAAGAAUGAUGACGGGACGGACGCUCUGCGGGUAGUGCCACCCAACCAACCCCGACCCACCGUCCCUCUUAGGCCGUGUUAUUAAGGCUGUCGAAUCGACAGCAAAGACAAACAGCACCGAGCGAGGUUCGAAGCUGCGAUCUGCCGAUCGCAAGAAUGAUGACGGGACGGACGCUCUGCGGGUAGUGCCACCCAACCAACCCCGACCCACUGUCCCUCUUAGGCCGUGUUAUUAAGGCUGUCGAAUCGACAGCAAAGAGAAACAGCACUGAGCGAGGUUCGAAGCUGCGAUCUGCCGAUCGCAAGAAUGAUGACGGGACGGACGCUCUGCGGGUAGUGCCACCCGACCAACCCCUACCCACUGUCCCUUUCAGGCCGUGUUAUAAGGCUCUGCCGGUCAAAUCCACAGCAAAGACAAACAGCACUGAGCGAGGUUCGAAGCUGCGAUCUGCCGAUCGCAAGAAUGAUGACGGGACAGACGCUCUGCGGGUAGUGCCACCCCACCGUCCCUCUUAGGCCGCGUUAUAAGGCUCUGCCGGUCGACGCGACAGCGAAGAAAGAAACUGCACUGAGUGGGGUUCGAAGCUGCGAUCUGCCGAUCGCAAGAAUGAUGAUGGGACUGACGCUCUGCGGGUAGUGCCACCCAUCCAUCCCCGACCCACUUUCCCUUAAGGCCGCGUUAUAAGGCUCUGCCGGUCGACGCGACAGCGAAGAAAGAAACUGCACUGAGCCAGGUUUGAAGCUGCGAUCUUCUGAUCGCAAGAAUGACGCUAGGAAGGGACACUCUGCAGGUCGCGCCACCCAUCCAUUGACCCACUGUCACUUAAGGCCGCGUUAUAAGGCUCUGCCGGUCGACGCGACAGCGAAGAAAGAAACUGCACUGAGCCAGGUUCGAAGCUGCGAUCUGCCGAUCGCAAGAAUGAUGACGGGACGGACGCUCUGCGGGUACAGCCACCCAUCCAUCCUGUCCCUUAAGGCCUGACUAUAAAGCUCUGCCGGUCGACUUGACAGCAAAGACAGAAAUUGCCCUGAAUGAAAAAAAAAACAUUUACUGAUAUGUGAUCUGAAUUUCACAAUAUACUUCUAUUUUUUGCGAUUGAAAAUACAAUUCUCUGUUUGCCUGGAGCCCAUACAGGUGGGAAGUCACGAUGGGCCUGUUUGCGUAGACCGUUCUGAUUCUCUCUGCUACUACUGAGUAGGUAAGCUGACACGUUGGCUGCGUCGGGGGCCCCCGUGCCCUCUGGCAGCCAGCCAAGGGUCCAGCCUGUUCCCGACUUCGGAACAGGCCUCUCCGUGUAACCGGUGCCUGUGGAGAGCAGGAGACGGAACUGACUCCCACGUUCACGGCGUCUCCGCCCGACUAAGCGCUACAGCAGGGAUGCGUCCACGAUCUCCCUUACCGCCGUGAUCUCGCUUCAGGGGCCCGGAUUUAUUUGAGGUCUUGUAACCAGUCUGGGUGGGGCUGUGUUCUAUGUCCAAAUGCUUAAGGUCAUUUCUAAGCCAACUUAGUUACGGUAGCCAACGUGCAGGACGACAUUCAAGACAUUCCACGAGCGUUGUUGCGCAAAAUUGUGCCCCGUAGCUCUGUGUGUGCAAUAACUUAAAUGUGUGGGAGGGGAAAGCUUCCCAAAACACAUUUUUUCGCUUUCUCAGUGUUGUUCAAGCACAGCAGUGUCCCUAGUGAAUUAUCUGUCACGGCACACAAGUGCUGACCGCUGGUGGUUUUUAAAUAGCUCCCUUCCAAGGCUGAGAGGUCUGGCGAGUUCACUGCAGUGACCCACGCCCGAGAUCUGCCAGGCAGGUCUGGCAGGAACAGGACUAGCCGAUUGGCUGAUCGCUGGGGAUUUAGCUGGGCCUUGCAAAUGCGCCGGUCACGGUUCACGUGGAGAAUCUAUCCAGCCAAAUUCCAUAGCUGCUCAUCCGGCACAGGGGUCAUGUUGAAUAUGAAUCACUGGAAACACUGGUCAUGAGCAGAGAUGGAUAGUUUAGGUCCAGAGAGUAAAAGUCCAGACCAAGAGUUUAAAGCCAGUUGAGUAUAAAGAGUCACAGUCACAGAGUACUUAACUAAUUGUUUGAAACAAAAUCUUGGUCUGGACUUUUACUCUCUGGACUUCUGGUCAUGAGACAGGGACACCUUUGACUUUUUUGUGAUUAAUUGGGUAAUUGUAACCCAAAUUAUUCGAUCAUCCCAUUUAUUAUUGGACCAGGGAUGUACAGCACCUAUCCAAAGCAGCUUUGGACUGCGAUAUACCCUGGAUGGGAUGCCAGUUCAUUGCUGGGCACAGUCUCACACAUUAUAGGCAAUUUUGGGAUGCCACAUGUCAUUGGGGGGAGGGGGACAAUCGAGGGCCCAGAGGGCACAGGGAGAACUCAACAAAACUCAGAGCACAGGCUAGUGAAAGCCCCUGGUUCUAUCUACCAACUAUUGAUCUUUUUCCUGUCUCGCCGAUAGCAUUUCCAUGCACGUUGUUGGCAGAGCUACUGCCGUUUGAAAAUGAAAAUUUCUGGUUUCCGGACUCAGCUUGUUCUGUAAUAUGGUUUUGCUUGAAGUGACGGUUUGUGUGCGUGAUUCAUGGGUUUUAGAGAUUCAGUAACACCUUUUAUAAAAGGUGAAACAAUUUGAUGUAAAGAGGAAUAACAGCAGAGUUUGGUUGCUGAACCGCAAUUUUUCUGUUGGAGUUAAUUUUGUGAUGAAUGACGUGAUUCUCGACAGUCAGGUGUUACUGUUCCCUGUGAGUGCUGAUUAAGGCACUGGCACUACCUGGAUUAAUUUUGGUCUUGUAAGCAUCACAAGCAGGAUAAGUUGUUGGGAAGAUGGAUGGAUGGUAUAUGAAGAUCAAUACUACAUGUAAUGCACUACGCCUAUUGAUUUAUGAGCUUGUGUUGAAGACCAUUUGCUUCUUGCAUUCUUCACUGCAAUUUUUCCAUCCAUCUAUCCGAUCAUCUUUUCUUUGGAUUGUGGUAGGAAGCCAGAGUACCAAGAGGAAACCGGUGGAACACGGAGAACAAACUCCAUUGCUCCUCUCUACUUCUGCACAUGGAAGAUGUUAUCUUAGCAGAACA